GCAUUGGUGGUUCAGUGGUAGAAUUUUGCCUGUCACCCGGGAGGCCUGGGUUCAAUUCCCAGCCAAUGCA